rnacentral:rRNA from 1 species
ACUUAAAUUGAAGAGUUUGAUCAUGGCUCAGAUUGAACGCUGGCGGCAGGCCUAACACAUGCAAGUCGAGCGGUAGCACAGAGAGCUUGCUCUCGGGUGACGAGCGGCGGACGGGUGAGUAAUGUCUGGGAAACUGCCUGAUGGAGGGGGAUAACUACUGGAAACGGUAGCUAAUACCGCAUAACGUCGCAAGACCAAAGUGGGGGACCUUCGGGCCUCAUGCCAUCAGAUGUGCCCAGAUGGGAUUAGCUGGUAGGUGGGGUAACGGCUCACCUAGGCGACGAUCCCUAGCUGGUCUGAGAGGAUGACCAGCCACACUGGAACUGAGACACGGUCCAGACUCCUACGGGAGGCAGCAGUGGGGAAUAUUGCACAAUGGGCGCAAGCCUGAUGCAGCCAUGCCGCGUGUGUGAAGAAGGCCUUCGGGUUGUAAAGCACUUUCAGCGGGGAGGAAGGC